GUGUGACACUCUAAUCUUUUUGGAAUCACUUUUAAAGAUUCGAAAUGAUUCAAAAAGAUUCGAAAAGAUUCGGCGUGAUUCAAGAAAAAAGCAGGCCUGAAAGUAAUAUCAAAAUAAUUAUAACUUUUAGUUCAGUGUUUGUUUUGAUCUGGAAAGCGCGAAGGAAAAAGCUCUUCGUUUUCCUCUCUUGUUAUGAAAUAAAAUAAAGGUAAUUAAUAUUUAUGCAUUAUUGCUAAUUACAAUUAACUAAAAUAACUGUAUUUCCCAACAGUGGCGACAAGUGAAGAAGGAUGAUGAACUCCAACAUACCUCAUAGUAAGUACUUACUGAGAUGCCCAAAAAACCCUAGGUGAGGAUAAUGUUUGUUCUAGGAAGAGGCCAUCGACCCCGUGGAGGCCGCGCAUUCGGUGACUUAAGUUAUAACUUCUAGCAGAAAAAAAGUGCCAACUAAUGAUGAAUAAUAAGGAAAUUUCGGAAAUUUAUUCUGUCCAAGGACGCUGUUGAGUGCCGCGUCAAGCGGAAAGCGAGCCCUAAAUCAGCUAAUAUCGAGUUUUAGGGAUGAAUGGGGGGGCCGGUUACAUUGCAAAUUUUGAGUACACAUCAAAUGAAGGUUAGACCAUCAUUUCCCACAGUUCCAGGAGAUUACGCAAGAUCAACUCUUUCGUUUCUACGUAUUGCCGCAUCCAGAUCUCCUUCUAUGAGCAAAUUGCGAAAAUUGCUUAACAUAUAAUUAUUUAAUAUAUUUGAUGUAUUAUACCUAUUGCUGAUUCAUAAUAAAUAUUGCGGGGGA